GACGAACGCUGGCGGCGUGCUUAACACAUGCAAGUCGAACGAUGAAGCCCAGCUUGCUGGGUGGAUUAGUGGCGAACGGGUGAGUAACACGUGGGCAACCUGCCCCAAACUCUGGGAUAACUCCUCGAAAGAGGUGCUAAUACCGGAUACGAACUAGGUAGACAUCUGCACUAGUUGGAAAGUUUUUCGGUUUGGGAUGGGCCCGCGGCCUAUCAGCUAGUUGGUAGUGUAACGGACGACCAAGGCGACGAUCAGUAGGGGAUCUGAGAGGACUACCCCCCACACUGGUACUGAGACACGGACCAGACUCCUACGGGAGGCAGCAGUGGGGAAUAUUGGACAAUGGGCGAAGGCCUGAUCCAGCCAUGCCGCGUGUGUGAAGAAGGUCUUCGGAUUGUAAAGCACUUUAAGUUGGGAGGAAGGGCUGUAAGUUAAUACCUUGCAGUUUUGACGUUACCGACAGAAUAAGCACCGGCUAACUUCGUGCCAGCAGCCGCCGUAA
rnacentral:rRNA from 1 species